UUUAGUUGACCAAGUUGAAUAAUGAGAAAGUUUGUUACAUCGUCUCUUUCAUGUCUCUCUUUCUCUCUCAAACUAAGAAAUGGCUACGGCCAUGAAAUCCACCGGCAAGCCUCCCGUCGUUGUGUCUUUAGCGACGUCUCAGAAGAACCAGUCGAAAUUGAUCUCUGUGAUUUUGGUAAAUCUAUUUCUGGGAGGCAAGAAACAUCGCAAAAGGCAUCUCCUCUGCUCGUGAGGGGACUGUGAUGCAAGGUUCAUCUCCUCUGCUUGUGCUCCACGGUACUCGCCUCAUCCCAAAGCAGAAACAACUUACAGCCUUCUAAAUUUUCAGGCUACCAGAAGUAAGGAGAUUUAACAAGUUGCUGUUCAGAGUUUAAAUGGAGCCGGUGCAAGAGGCUUUAGGCUUUACCGAUAUUCCACCUUUUCAUCAGAAAUCAGGGAAUCCCUAAUCUUACAAUGAAGAAACACAAAAGUUUGACCAACUGCUCUCUUUUAUGUUGUUAUGCUCACAAACAAUGAUUUCUCAGCCCUUUGUCUCACUCCACAGUAAUUUUGUUACUCUUUAAUCUGACACAACAUGCUUAUUCGAUGAUUAUUUGGUGGGUUUACUGGCUUUUCUCUUGCGAUUGGAAAUCAUGAAUGUAGAAUGAAAUAGACUGUGUAGGGUUUGCUAAGGAUGAAUUUAGAUUGCCGUUUAUGUUGAUUCUGAAAACUUUUUAAAUGCACACAAUAUGUUCAAUUAAAUGCCAAAAAACGAGAUACAUAUUGCGAUAGAGUAUUUUUAGAAACAUGUAGAUGGUUUCUUCUACCCAUACAUUGCUUGCUAGCUACUUCUUUUGUUCCUACAAUGUUUCAGAACAUUACAUAUUUCUGUUUUCUUUUUUUUUUUCAAACAGAACGCUGUGGUUGAAUGGAAAUCAAAGGUAUCCGCAAUGCACUUCUCUUCUUGCAUCUGGCCACAACUGGACCAUAAAAUCUGAACUUAAGUUGGAUGGCAUGUGUUUCUUGAUCUAAGACUCGAGCCAUGGCUCCGGAACUUCUAACACAAUGCUUAGCUAUACUCAUUUGCCUAAAGGUUGCUCUCAUUGGUGACUGAACUGGAUCUGGAAAGUUAUUCAUCAAUUUCCUCGAUGCUAACUGUGGAGAUACUGAAAAUGUAGAUUAAUUUGCGCAGGUGUUGAAAACAAAAAAGAAACCCACCAACCAAUUUCACAUACUCAAUGAUUAUUGGAAGACUUUGCAUUGCCCAGAAAAUCGAAGUGGGACAUGGCUUCUGAAGGAGUGGGAUGUCAGUUUAUCAAAAUUUACUUCCACCCACACUGAUCAAGGAACGUUGUGUCCUAUUUAAGUCAUCUUCCGCUCUUCGAACCAAGCUUGAAGCAGUGAAAGUGAGAUUAGUAUUUCUAUCAUGGGAUCAUGAGAGUCAUGUUAUGGCAACAAUGACUCUCAUGGGAUCAUGUUUAGGAAAAUUAGUGAUGCACAAGGCGUUAUCUUUAGCUCUAAUGUGGUUGGGAACUAUCAAUCUUAUGUCGAAGACCCAAUCAAGGAACCACACAGCCCAACAACGGAGUUGUAAGUGAACAACCAGUGGCUAAACGGAGCUUGGAAUAUAUUCCAGAGAACAAAGGAGAUACCAAAACGUCAAAGAAGAAAGCUUCCUCUACAGGCUUCCCUUCAAACGUCAGAAGCUUAAUAUCAACUGGUCAUGUUCAAAUCGAUUCAAAAGUUUGAGGGCUCUCUCUUCCUUGGAUGUAUUAGACUGAAAAUUUUACCAUCCACAGAAGCUCGAUCAUGUCAGAGCAGGCUGAGAUAUUCAAGCUCAAAGAUAGCUUAGUUCGUUUGGUUUCAGCAAGAGAGACCUCUAGCUCUGCAUAUUUGCACCAAGCAUAGAAAUUUUCAUGAUACCGCUCAAGAUCCUGCUCUAACGCUUUACACCUAUAUACUGUAUACAUUAGGGUAUGAUCUCAAUGUAUUUUUGAAUAUUUGUUUGCAGAAGAGGAAAAAAAAUUACUAACGAUAAGUAUAUCAUGUAUGUAAUUUUAUCUGCAAUGAAACUGAAUGGCCAUCGCUAGCAGCUGAACUGGA